AUUUACCUGGACCACCAGCGCUUGAAACUAGACACUAACCUCAAGGAAAAAACUCAAAAACACUCAAAAUCAUGGAGACUAAAUAGCACACUAUUAAACAAUGAAUGGGUUAAAAAUGAGAUCAAGGAAGAAAACAAAAAGUUUCUGGAAACAAAUGAAAAUGAAUACACCACAUCCCCAAAUUUAUGGGACACAGCAAAGGCAGUCAUGAGUUGGAAAUUCAUAGUGAUCAGGACUACCUAAAAAAGAGAGAAACAUUUCAAAUAAACAGCCUAAUCCUAGAUGUACAAGAACUGGAGAACUGAUAACAAACAAAGCCCACUGGGAGUCAAAGGAAGGAAAUAACCAAGUUCAGAGCAGAAUUAA